GGUUAGACAAGUACUAUGGGAGGAAAGUAAAACAUCACGGAGUAGUAUGUUUAAUUUCAAUUCAUGAAAGCCAAGUAGCUGCUUAUUGUUUUUUUUUUUUUUUUUUUAUGAAGGUAGCUGGUUACUGUUUAUUACAUGAGUAGCGCCAUGUAGUAUGGAUUUUUUAGUUUAAUUUAUAAGGGUAAAGUAAAUAAUAAUAAUUGUUAAUGAAAAUUAUUAAUUGAUAUUCCUAUAUAUACCUUUAUUAUUUGUCACGCAAAUGUAACUAUGUAAGUAAUAUUGACAGUUAAUUUCCUUAGAAAUAAUUGCAAUUACUUAUUUUAUCUUGUAAAAUGAAUUACUCGUUUUAGAUGAACAAGAUCCAAAGUUUUUAUAUAUGAAAUGGUACAAAUUCAAGUGAGUGUCUUUUUUCUUGGUUUAGCAAUGAACAAAAGUCAUUCGUGCGUUAGUUCCAACUUCCAUCUCAAUAUUUCGAAAGAACCAGCAAUAUAUAGUCUUAUUAUUAUUACACAUUCAGAAGUCAAAUAAAGCUUUAAAAUUGUAUUAAAGAAAAGAGAAAGGAAAAAGCUGCUUUUUUAUUGCUUGCUACGUGUCUCCAACUAGGUAUAUAUUGUGUAAAUUCAAGAUUUAGAUUGUAAGUUUAAGGAAACAUGUGGG
rnacentral:lncRNA from 1 species